rnacentral:rRNA from 1 species
AGAAUCAACGCUGGCGGCGUGCCUAACACAUGCAAGUCGCACGAGAAAGGGGAGCAAUCCCUGAGUACAGUGGCGCACGGGUGAGUAACACGUGAAUUAUCUACCUCCGAGUGGGGAAUAACUGAGAGAAAUCUUAGCUAAUACCGCAUAACACUUACGAGUCAAAGCAGCAAUGCGCUUGGAGAGGAGUUCGCGGCCGAUUAGUUAGUUGGCGGGGUAAUGGCCCACCAAGACGAUGAUCGGUAUCCGGCCUGAGAGGGCGCACGGACACACUGGAACUGAAACACGGUCCAGACUCCUACGGAGGCAGCAGUGGGGAAUUUUGCGCAAUGGGGAAACCCUGACGCAGCAACGCCGCGUGGAGGAUGAAGCCCCUUGGGGUGUAAACUCCUUUCGAUCGGGAAGAUAAUGACGGUACCGAUAUAAGAAGCCCGGCUAACUCGUGCCAGCAGCCGC